rnacentral:rRNA from 1 species
UACAGAGGUCUCAAGCGUUGUUCGGAUUCAUUGGGCGUAAAGGGUGCGUAGGUGGCGGGGUAAGUCAGGUGUGAAAUCUCGGAGCUCAACUCCGAAACUGCAUUCGAUACUGCCGUGCUUGAGGACUGGAGAGGAGACUGGAAUUUACGGUGUAGCGGUGAAAUGCGUAGAUAUCGUAAGGAAGACCAGUGGCGAAGGCGGGUCUCUGGACAGUUCCUGACGCUGAGGCACGAAGGCCAGGGGAGCAAACGGG